CUUCAAAAUGGCUGAUUUUCUAUUUGCUGCUCUGACGAUUGCUCUAUUCUUCUCUCCUCCUGCAUCUAGUGCUAGUGAGGAUGACCCAGUUCCUCUUGUAAUAUGGUCUGGAAUGGGUUAGUUAUUAAAGCAAGGGUUUAGAUAGCUUGUGACAGCUGUUGCUAUGAAUAUGGUGCUUAUCAGUUUAAAGUUGUCCUGGAACGUCUUAUACCAGGCAUAUAUAUCAAAAUGGUUGCUUUUGGAAAGACUCCUACAGAGGAUUCAUACAACAGUUUCUUUCUCAAUUCUAAUAAACAGGUUGAACUAGCUUGUGAUUUACUAUCAUCAGAUGAGAUGUUAGCUAAUGGUUUUAAUGCAAUGGGUUUCUCUCAAGGAUCACAAUUCCUGUAAGUUAUUGUCUGCCAAAUUUUGUCAAAAUUAAA